rnacentral:rRNA from 1 species
AAUAGAUACCCUGGUAGUCCACGCCGUAAACGAUGGGCACUAGGUGUGGGAGGUGUCGACUCCUUCCGUGCCGAAGCUAACGCAUUAAGUGCCCCGCCUGGGGAGUACGGCCGCAAGGCUAAAACUCAAAGGAAUUGACGGGGGCCCGCACAAGCAGCGGAGCAUGUGGUUUAAUUCGAUGCAACGCGAAGAACCUUACCAAGGCUUGACAUGCACGGGAAGCCACCAGAGAUGGUGGUCUCUUUGGACACUCGUGCACAGGUGGUGCAUGGUUGUCGUCAGCUCGUGUCGUGAGAUGUUGGGUUAAGUCCCGCAACGAGCGCAACCCUGUCCCAUGUUGCCAGCGGGUUAUGCCGGGGACUCAUGGGAGACUGCCGGGGUCAACUCGGAGGAAGGUGGGGAUGACGUCAAAUCAUCAUGCCCCUUAUGUCUUGGGCUUCACGCAUGCUACAAUGGCCGGUACAAAGGGCUGCGAUACCGUAAGGUGGAGCGAAUCCCAAAAAGCCGGUCUCAGUUCGGAUUGGGGUCUG